rnacentral:lncRNA from 1 species
UUUUCUUACUCUUCUAUUUUCUCAUUUCUUUCACUCCUUCGCUAUAUUAUAUGUUUAAUUAAAAGGGCUCUAUUUGAAUUAGUUAUAUCAUUUUCUAAAUUAACUUGUUGGUAUUUGUAUUAAUAAUUUUGUUGAUUUCUCUAUACUCUGGUUAAUUAGGGAAGACUUAACUUAGAAUAUCCUCUAAUUAAUCAGGGAAGUGCUUAUUUAAUCGUAGAGAAAUAUUUUACACUGCUGAAAUAGUUUCUUAGAACAGUGCCUAGCACGACUCAUGUAUAAUUAAUAUAUCACUUAAAUUAAUAUUGCAGUAAUAUUUAUUUAAUAUUCAGUACCUUUAAUUUGUCAAUAAGAAAUUAUAUUACUAUUAUAAUGUUAUUAUUUUAAUAGUAGUAGUAUUAUACGCUGUUAUGUUAUUAUACUGCUAUUAUUAUUAUUGUUAUAUUAGUACUGUGUUAAAAGUUAAAUAAUAUUGUUAUUAUUAUUAUUUUACCAUUGUUCCCCAAUAAUAUAAUUAAGGAGCCGUUUGAUAGGGGGAAUUAGUUUUUUUAAUUCAUGUAUUAAAAUGUGAGAUAAAUUAAUACAUUG